GGCAAGUAACGAGGGGAGGUUCGUUUGACGAACUUCCUGCAAGAAGUCAUAACCGGUUAUAUAUGUUUCUUAUACUAUAAACAUUCGUCUGGUUUAUACCGUUUGAUGUCACAAUGAGCAAAACAAUAGUUGUUGGAACAUGGGCUUUCAGUAGCAAACUGGUGCUCACUGCAGGCAACAAGCUCGCGUCCGGAGGUGGCAGUUGCGUUGAUGCUGUGAAAUGUGGAAUAAACGUUGUUGAAGAGGAUGCCGGUUACGGGACUACCUUUGUUGGACAGGGCGGGCCUCGAACAAGGACGGUUACCUGGAGCAAGAUGCUGCCAUCAUGGAGGGAUGCAACUUGGAUUUCGGCGCAGUCACCGGCCUACAGGGCGUGUCCAAAGCUAUCUCCAGUUGCCACUGACGUCAUGAACUACUCGGAACACAACAUGUUGACGGGGAGCCGGGACGACUGCGUUUGCUGCUCAGAGAGGACACGAUAUUGAAGCCCAGCUAAUAUACAGGCAACUUCACGUCUUCCCAUCAAGUGGGAUGGC